rnacentral:lncRNA from 1 species
CCAAGGGAGUUGGUACUUGGUAAUGGCCUUCUCAUGCGCCAGAGGUUUUCUUUCUUGGUACAUGGGUAUUUCUCUCUUGCACAAAUAUCUAGUGGCACCCCUUAGAGUGGGGCGCCCCUUCCUUGUGCUUAUCCAUUUAAUUUCAUGCAAAAUUCAUAUAGAGCAUGGACUUUAGAUGACUAAUUGGUGUUAAGAGCCCUUCUAUUUUUGAAAUGCUUCUUUGGUCAUUGGGAAA